CCGCCUAGACUGAGCGGAGGGGGAUCAGACGGGCCGAGCCUGCGGGAGCGCUGACUGGCCGGCGCGGCCUCUCCGGUGGCUCUCCUAGGCCCGGGCGGUUGCUGGGGGCGUCCGGGAGCGUCCCCCGCCCCUGCUGCUGAGGUGGCUCCCGCCUCCCCGCAGCCUCGCCACCCCCCCACCCCCCGCUCCGCCCGCCCCGCCGCCGCCGCCGCUGUCCUUCGCGCUAACGGUCGGUGGCGGCCCGCGUGCGCCGCCCGACGGGGACUCGCGCCGGCCACGAGGGAGCGUCCGCGGCCCGCGCGUCCGCGCCGCGGCGGCAGCGGGCGGAGAGCUUCCGCAGUUAAUGGAGCCUCUUGUACUGACUUCUUGGGAGAAGAUUCUAAGGACCUGGAGUGUUUGGGAUGGAAGCCAGGGCCUUGCACAUGCAAAGCAAACAGGUUUUCAGCACAGUAACAAGGAGAAAGGCUUUGUUGAAGUCUAAGUCAAGUCCUCAGCUACAAAGAAUUAUAUUUUCUGAAGUAUCAGAGCCAGGAGUUCACAGGUGCCCAGGCUUCAAGUGACUUGUCCAAGGUCGCAUCACUGUGAGCACACUCUGGUUUGGGCCCAGAUCAUCUGCCUGCCUACACUCAAAUCCAGUGGAAUGGAGUUGUCCAGCCAGUCCAACACACUUAUGAAUGAUUAAUUUCACUUUCUGCGUCUCGUCUCGCUCCCUCUGCCGAGUCUCCUAAUUCAGUGCAGCCUGUUUAGGGAUCAUCUCUGUUCGACAGACAGCUGCCCAGAGCUUUCCCUUUCCAAGCAUGGCUUUUCGAUUAUGGCCAACCAAGGCCAGGCGCUGGACGAGCACCUGUCAGUGCUGCUUUUCCAAAAGAGAUGACUCUAAUCGCAUUUCACUGCACUUCAGAAGAAGGCCCCUUUGAAAUGUGGCUCUGCUCUAUGACUCAUCCUUUUCAGCCCAGAUGCCACUCGGCAGUGUGUUCAUGACGUCGUCUGUGCUGAAAGGAGAAACUGGAAAAGUGAGGCCCUGCCCAGGCAUUUGAUUCGUAACUUUCUCUUGUGAAGAAAAGCAUCUAAAAAUUCCUGUUUGAGCUUUUCUAGGUGAAUAUCAUUAAAGAUUGGAAGGAGGGUUUUUGUUUUGCUUUGUUUAUCGAGUAAGCUUUCCAAACCUUUCAGCUCUGCUGUAAACACACGUCAUGCAAUGGGAGGAACGUGAGCUGUUGAAGUCUAUUCCCUUUAUCAGUGAGAUUGAUGCUGAAUACUGUGUAGAGAAAGCUCUGGACUUUCACCUUGGCCCUAAUUGGAGGCCCAUUAAGUACUUAACAUGCAGAUCUGCUAAAACAACUCAUUCUCCCCACCAGGAUGGGGGUGGGAAGGUCCCCUUCUCCCCAUAAUUAGUGUCAUCAGAUGUCAUCAUUUCUGUGUCAACCUGACAGCAAACUGUAGUGCAUUCAUUGGUACGUCUAUAAUUAGGAGAGAAGAAAUGGAAGUCCAAGCCUGGAGGCUGAAUGCACAGGUGAUCAGUUGACAACAAUCUGCUCUACAACGUCCGGAGCUUUGUUCUGCUCAAGGCUGAUUGACAUCACUGGAGGCGGGGCUUUCAACUCUUCUGGUCUGAGGGCAGGAGCCAUGUGAAGGACCCAUUCCUCCCUCAGCCUGCCUGUGUCUGUCUUCGUGGCCACGUGUGUGAGUAUGGCCUUUGGAAAGGCGAUGCUGGUAAUGACAACCUAUGAGAAGAUCACCUCAUUUGUUCCAACUACAGUCAUUUAAAGUGGGAAGAAUCAUCCCAUUUUACACAUUCAAAGUUUGGAGGCCAUAUCCCUUGUCCCCACCACCUAGUGACAAUGCAAGGACUUAUACCUCCUUCUCUCUUCCUUUAGCCCAGAGCUCCAGCCAUCAGUCUUGUCACCCCUGAGGCAAUUGUUAGUGGCUGGAAAACGUGGAUCUGAGAAAACAUGUAAAUAUGAAACACUGGAUCUGCCUACUGAGAUGCUUAUUUUAAAAAACCCAGAGGAAGGUUAUAUUUAUAUAUUUAUGUAACAUUCAUGUGCAAUAUUUACAUUUACAAAAUGUGUAUCAGUAUAACAGAAUGGGCACCAGUUUGGGCAUAUAAUUGUCUUUUCUUACAUAUUCAUUUAUUCCUUUGAUUUCUAUAAUGCCUUCUCCACUUGGUCUUCUGAGAUCAUGCACAAUGGUAACACAUUUAGAAUAGUAUUAAUAAAAGAUUACUUUGUAUCACUCA